UCAGGACGAACGCUGGCGGCACGCUUAACACAUGCAAGUCGAACGAGCGAAAGGUGCUUGCACCUCUAGCUAGUGGCGGACGGGUGAGUAACACGUGAGCAAUCUGCCUUUCGGUGGGGGAUACCAAUUGGAAACGAUUGUUAAUACCCCAUAACAUAACGAAGCCGCAUGACUUUGUUAUCAAAGAUUUAUUGCCGGAAGAUGAGCUCGCGUCUGAUUAGGUAGUUGGUGAGGUAACGGCUCACCAAGCCGACGAUCAGUAGCCGGACUGAGAGGUUGAACGGCCACAUUGGGACUGAGACACGGCCCAGACUCCUACGGGAGGCAGCAGUGGGGAAUAUUGCACAAUGGGCGAAAGCCUGAUGCAGCGAUGCCGCGUGAGGGAAGAAGGUUUUAGGAUUGUAAACCUCUGUCUUUGGGGACGAUAAUGACGGUACCCGAGGAGGAAGCUCCGGCUAACUACGUGCC
rnacentral:rRNA from 1 species